rnacentral:rRNA from 1 species
UGGGGAAUAUUGGACAAUGGGGGGAACCCUGAUCCAGCCAUGCCGCGUGUGUGAAGAAGGCCUUAUGGUUGUAAAGCACUUUAAGCGAGGAGGAGGCUACUGAGACUAAUACUCUUGGAUAGUGGACGUUACUCGCAGAAUAAGCACCGGCUAACUCUGUGCCAGCAGCCGCGGUAAUACAGAGGGUGCGAGCGUUAAUCGGAUUUACUGGGCGUAAAGCGUGCGUAGGCGGCUUUUUAAGUCGGAUGUGAAAUCCCCGAGCUUAACUUGGGAAUUGCAUUCGAUACUGGGAAGCUAGUAGUAUGGGAGAGGAUGGUAGAAUUCCAGGUGUAGCGGUGAAAUGCGUAGAGAUCUGGAGGAAUACCGAUGGCGAAGGCAGCCAUCUGGCCUGAAUACUGACGCUGAGGUACGAAAGCAUGGGGAGCAAACAGGAUUAGAUACCCUGGAUAGUCCAUGCCGUAAACGAUGUCUACUAGCCGUU